GCGAUGAGCAAUGCAGGCUAUCUGGACUCAAAUAUGAUAGUCAUUUUAAAUGACAGCCAUCACUCUUUGCAUCCAAAGAUUGAAGAGGGUCCCAAGACUUCGAUCAAUGCUCUAUCUAGCACCCUAAGCAAGCUCCAGUCAAAUAAAUCAUUCCGGAAGCUUAGAGAAGUUGCAAAGGGUGUUACCAAAAGGAUUGGUAUGGGUAUGCAUGAAUUAGCAGCCAAAGUUGAUGAGUAUGCACGUGGUAUGAUGGGUCCUCUAGGAGCAACUCUCUUUGAAGAGCUCGGUUUGUAUUACAUAGGCCCUGUUGAUGG
rnacentral:misc_RNA from 1 species